rnacentral:lncRNA from 1 species
CUAGUUGAGAUUAAAUGAUCUUAAAUGAGAAUUACAAUCUAAUGAGUCACUUAAUUUUACUUCCGGGUCACAAACCUCCAAAAGACCCACAAGCAUUUUACACGUGACAUUGAGAAGAAAUAUGACCUUAAAUGAGAAUUACAAUCUAGUGAGUCACUUAAUUUUACUUUUGGGUCACAAACCUCCAAAAGACCCACAAGCAUUUUACACGUGACAUUGAGAAGAAAUAUUCAGUAAUAAAUCACUAACAAACU